GAAAUAUUUUCUGAAAGUCAAAGAAAUCACCCAUAAGAACAUGAAAACCUCCUGGUUCUUCCUCUUUCUGGUGGCAGCUUCCAGAUGUGUCCUGUCCCAGGUGCAGCUGAAGGAGUCGGGACCUGGUCAGGUGAAGGCCUCACAGACCCUGUUCCUCACCUGCUCUGUCUCUGGAAUCUCUUUAACCAGCUUUGGUGUGAAAUGGAGUCGACAGUCCCCUGGAAAGGAACAGGAGUAUGUUGGAGUAAUAUCGAGUGAUGGAAGUACAAACUAUAAUGCAGCUCUUCAGUCACGAGUCGCCAUCACCAGAGACACCUCCAAGAACGAAGUUUAUUUAAAGUUGAGCAGCGUGACACCCGAGGACACGGCCACAUAUUACUGUUCAGAAGACACAGUGAGGGGAAGUCAGGGUGAUUAAUCACUUCCUCUGCAAGGCCUUUGAUGUAGAUAUUUGUGUGAAUCUAGUCAGGCCUGCAUUUGAAAUUUUUUGAUGCCGUGG